rnacentral:rRNA from 1 species
GACUCUCGGCAACGGAUAUCUCGGCUCUCGCAUCGAUGAAGAACGUAGCGAAAUGCGAUACUUGGUGUGAAAUGUAGAAUCCCGUGAUUCAUCGAGUCUUUGAACGCAAGUUGCGCCUGAAGCCAUUAGGCCGAGGGCACGUCUGCCUGGGCAUCA